GACGAACGCUGGCGGCGUGCCUAAUACAUGCAAGUCGAGCGCAGGAAACUGACGGAACUCUUCGGAGGGAAGGCAGCGGGAUGAGCGGCGGACGGGUGAGUAACACGUAAGGAACCUGCCUCAAGGAUUGGGAUAACUCCGAGAAAUCGGAGCUAAUACCGGAUAUUUAAUCGGACCGCAUGGUCCGUUGAUGAAAGGCGCUCCGGCGUCACCUUGAGAUGGCCUUGCGGUGCAUUAGCUAGUUGGUGGGGUAACGGCCCACCAAGGCGACGAUGCAUAGCCGACCUGAGAGGGUGAUCGGCCACACUGGGACUGAGACGCGGCCCAGACUCCUACGGGAGGCAGCAGUAGGGAAUCUUCCACAAUGGACGAAAGUCUGAUGGAGCAACGCCGCGUGAGUGAUGAAGGUUUUCGGAUCGUAAAACUCUGUUGUAAGGGAAGAACACGUACGAGAGGAAAUGCUCGUACCUUGACGGUACCUUACGAGAAAGCCACGGCUAACUACGUGCCAGCCGCCGCGGUAACAC
rnacentral:rRNA from 1 species